rnacentral:rRNA from 1 species
CGUACAGGCGGCUAUGCAAGUCGAGUGUGAAAUUCUCGGGCUUAACCCUAGAUCUGCACUCGAAACUGUAUAGCUUGAGAUCAGGAGAGGAGAGUGGAAUAUCUGGUGUAGCGGUGAAAUGCGUAGAUAUCAGAUAGAACACCGGUGGCGAAGGCGGCUCUCUGGCCUGAUUCUGACGCUGACGCGCGAAAGUUAGGGUAGCGAACG